rfam:Schistosoma haematobium scaffold416_38, whole genome shotgun sequence.
AUCCAGCUGACGAGCCCUAAAUAGGACGAAACGCGCAUCCUGGAU